UACGUAGGGGGCAAGCGUUGUCCGGAAUCAUUGGGCGUAAAGAGCGUGUAGGCGGCUCGAUAAGUCCGCUCUGAAAGCCCGGGGCUCAACCCCGGGAGGCGGGCGGAUACUGUCGGGCUAGAGUCCGGAAGAGGCGAGUGGAAUUCCUGGUGUAGCGGUGAAAUGCGCAGAUAUCAGGAGGAACACCAAUGGCGAAGGCAGCUCGCUGGGACGGUACUGACGCUCAUGCACGAAAGCGUGGGGAGCAAACAGG
rnacentral:rRNA from 1 species